UACGGAGGGGGCAAGCGUUAUUCGGAUUUACUGGGCGUAAAGGGUGUGUAGGCCGUCGCGCAAGUCUGGUGUGAAAUCUUCACCACUCAACGGGAAGAGGUCACUGGAAACUGCGUGACUUGAGUUUGGUAGAGGCGAGCGGAAUUCCUGGUGUAGCGGUGGAAUGUGUAGAUAUCAGGAAGAACACCGGUGGCGAAGGCGGCUCGCUGGGCCAAUACUGACGCUGAAACACGAAAGCGUGGGGAGCAAACGG
rnacentral:rRNA from 1 species